CUUAGGAUGAACGCUGACAGAAUGCUUAACACAUGCAAGUCUACUUGAUCCUCGGGUGAAGGUGGCGGACGGGUGAGUAACGCGUAAAGAACUUGCCUACAGACUGGGACAACAUUUGGAAACGAAUGCUAAUACCGGAUAUUAUGAUUGGGUCGCAUGAUCUGGUUAUGAAAGCUAUAUGCGCUGUGAGAGAGCUUUGCGUCCCAUUAGUUAGUUGGUGAGGUAACGGCUCACCAAGACGAUGAUGGGUAGCCGGCCUGAGAGGGUGAACGGCCACAAGGGGACUGAGACACGGCCCUUACUCCUACGGGAGGCAGCAGUGGGGAAUAUUGGACAAUGGACCAAAAGUCUGAUCCAGCAAUUUACCUGUGUGCACGAUGAAGUUUUUCGGAAUGUAAAGUGCUUUCAGUUGGGAAGAAGUCAGUGACGGUACCAACAGAAGAAGCGACGGCUAAAUACGUGCCAGCAGCAGC
rnacentral:rRNA from 1 species